GCAAGUCGAGCGCGAACGUUUCCUUCGGGGAGCUAGUAGAGCGGCGCACGGGUGAGUAACACGUGAGUGACCUACCUCCGGGCUUGGAAUAACCAUUGGAAACGAUGGCUAAUACCAAAUAAGCCCACGGAACUUGUGGUUCUGUGAGAAAAGAGGGGCUUCGGCCUCUCACCUGGAGAUGGGCUCGCGGUCCAUUAGGUAGUUGGUGGGGUAAUGGCCUACCAAGCCGAAGAUGGAUAGCUGGUUUGAGAGGAUAGUC
rnacentral:rRNA from 1 species